UUCGUUUUCAAUCUGAUCGAGAAAGAGCUCGUGGUGGGGGUGGUGAUAGUAUUUAUGUAGUUCUAUGGCGAAAAUAAAAAACAAGAAAUUUAGCACUUAGCUCUUUGAUUAUUUAACCGAUAAAAUGUGUAGAGUUGACAAUGGAAUGAUGGAUCUUCUUCUUCAGCUGCUCCUGGCUAUCUUCUCGAUUCUGUUUGCCCCUAAUAUUCCUUCCAUAUCCAGAGCUGCAUCGAAACACUACGUCGAUUGUGAUUCUUGAUCUUUCCUUCAUUCCAGAGAGAGAAAGAGUAAAUUCACUUCCGGUCAUGAAUUCUCCGGAAUCUCCAACUCAGUCGUCGUCAAGAAACAAAGCAACUUCCGCCGACUGAUGAAUACGAGUCUGAUACAACUGAAUCAUGUAUUAUCAACAGAGUUACCAGAAAUUGAAUCCAAUGUUCAUAAAAACAAAGAAUCCAAUGUUCAACUUACAAGUAUCUGGAAAUGAGAAAGAUCCUUGCAGAGGAAGAACAAAUCGAGAUUACAGAGAAUUUCAAGAAGAGAAACAAAC
rnacentral:lncRNA from 1 species